CCGCCCGUCACAUCACGAAAAGCUGGCUGUACUAGAAGUCGUCGCGCUAACCCGCAAGGGAGGCAGACGCCUAAGGUAUGGUCAGUGAUUGGGGUGAAGUCGUAAACAAGGUACC
rnacentral:rRNA from 1 species